GGACCCGUGGCCUAGUGGAUAGCGCUGCGGAUUUCAAAUCUAGCUUCACUCUUAAGGUAAGUUCCUGGUUCGAUUCCGCCGCGGGUCCA